CAAGAAAAACGGCCUGUUGAUCUCAAUUCAUUUUUGAGGUAGGAAAGUCCGGACACCACAGAGCAGCAAAGCGGGUAACGCCCGUCGGUCGCAAGAUCAGGACCAGUGCAACAGAAAGGAUGUAUAUUAAGUUAUAGUGAAAUCAGGUAAACUCUUUGCGGUGCAAUGUUAAGUAUAUCGGAUUUUCCCGGUUCGCCGGGAAUAGGGGUGGCUCGCCCCAAAAACCGAGGGGUAAACAGCUAAAGCUUUGCAGUAAUGUAAAGCGCAGAUAAAUAACAGGCGCCCCGAAACUUCGGGGUACAGAAUCCGGCUUAUAGUUUUUCUUGUGGU
rnacentral:RNase_P_RNA from 1 species